CCUACGGGCGGCUGCAGUGGGGAAUAUUGGGCAAUGGGCGCAAGCCUGACCCAGCAACGCCGCGUGAAGGAAGAAGGCUUUCGGGUUGUAAACUUCUUUUCUCAGGGACGAAGCAAGAGACGGUACCUGAGGAAUAAGCCACGGCUAACUACGUGCCAGCAGCCGCGGUAAUACGUAGGUGGCAAGCGUUAUCCGGAUUUACUGGGUGUAAAGAGCGUGUAGGCGGGAAAGCAAGUCAGAUGUGAAAACCAUGGGCUCAACCGGUGGCCUGCAUUUGAAACUGUUUUUCUGGAGUACUGGGGAGGCAGACGGAAUUCCUAGUGUAGCGGUGAAAUGCGUAGAUAUUGGGAGGAACACCAGUGGCGAAGGCGGUCUGCUGGACAGCAACUGACGCUGAGGCGCGAAAGCGUGGGGAGCAAACAGGAUUAGAUACCCCUGUAGUC
rnacentral:rRNA from 1 species